rnacentral:snRNA from 1 species
GUGUUCGCUUCAGCAGCACAUAUACUAAAAUUGGAACGAUAUAGAGAAGAUUAGCACGGCCCCUGCGCAAGGAUGACAUGCAAAUUUGGGAAGCCUUUCAUAUUUUU